rnacentral:rRNA from 1 species
GUAUCCUGCAGUCGACGAUUCCUACGGGAGGCAGCAGUAGGGAAUAUUGGACAAUGGGCGCAAGCGUGAUCCAGCAAUGCCGCGUGUGUGAAGAAGGCCUGCGGGUUGUAAAGCACUUUCAGUAGAGAAGAAAAGCCUCGGGUUAAUACCCCGGAGUCUUGACGUAACCUACAGAAGAAGCACCGGCUAACUCCGUGCCAGCAGCCGCGGUAAUACGGAGGGUGCGAGCGUUAAUCGGAAUUACUGGGCGUAAAGCGCGCGUAGGCGGCUAGGUCAGUCGAAUGUGAAAGCCCCGGGCUUAACCUGGGAAUUGCACUCGAUACUGCCUGACUAGAGUAUGGGAGAGGGAAGUGGAAUUUCCGGUGUAGCGGUGAAAUGCGUAGAUAUCGGAAGGAACACCAGUGGCGAAGGCGACUUCCUGGCCCAAUACUGACGCUGAGGUGCGAAAGCGUGGGUAGCGAACAGGAUUAGAUACCCUGGUAGUCCACGCCGUAAACGAUGAGAACUAGAUGUCGGGAGGAUCUGCCUCUCGGUGUCGCAGCUAACGCGUUAAGUUCUCCGCCUGGGGAGUACGCCGGCAACGGUAAAACUCAAAGGAAUUGACGG